CUAACCCUGUCAAUGGAUAUUCGAAAUCCGAAUUCGAAUUCGAUUUCGAAUUCGUUUAAGGCUAAUCGAAUUCGGAUAAUCGAAUUCGAAUACGAAUUCGGAUACUGAAAAUACUAUCCGACACUAAUCGAAUUCGAAUUCGGAUACCUCUAAUAGAAUUCGAUAAUUAUCCGAAUUCGAAUAAAUAUUAAAUAUAUAAUAAUUUUAUAAUUUUAACCUUGUCUAAUAUAAUAUAAUAUUGUAAUGUAAUCUAUAUGUUUUAUAAUUUUAACCUUCUCUAAUAAAUAUUAAAUAUCUUACACCAUAUUAGCAAUAAACCCAUCUCAUUUUUUAUCAAAUAAUAUAAAUAUCAAAUCCCUAAACCUAAUCCCUAAAUCUCUAAAAAUUCAUUCUUAUUUCUUAUUCCCCCUUUCUUAAGAGUUAGCUAGGGUUUGAUCUUCCACCAUUUCCAUUUCUUCAAUCGUCUACAGACAGUAACCUCAUCCGGACAGUAACCUCCAUUUCCACGCUGGAGAUUGCAAUCUUAAUCUCGAUCUCCUCUGUUCGUUUCCGACAGAUUUCCUUAUUCCCCGUUGUUCUUUUUUUUCGUACCCUCCGUUCUUAUCCAUUCCGACAGAUUUCCAUUUCCGACAGUUUUGUUUUAUCCAUUCUUCUUAUGUUUGUCCAUUUAUGUUAUAUUGAUUUUUAUGUUUGUGCUCUUCUAUCGAUUUUUCAACUUUAUGUUAAUCUUCUCUCAAUAUCAUUUUGAUUUGGUCUUCUCUACUUCCAAUAAAUAUUUAUUUCCUGUCAACUAAUUAUUAAUUUUAAAUUCUUCCAAAUAUGAUUUUUCGUUGUGCUUGUUUCAUUGCAUGUUGACAGGAAAAUGUCUAAUUCAAGUAAGGACAGAUCGAAUAAGCGUAAGAUGGAAACACCAACACAACAAUCUCUCGGACGUGCUGUUUAAGGUAAAUGAUUUUUUGAAUUUAUAUUAGCAAAAAUACUGAUUUUACUGAGAUCAAAUAACCGAAAAAUAGGUGAUAAUUAGGAAUAUUUAACUGCGAUAAUAUCAUGGACUUGUAGAACUCCACAUAUACUUCCUUGUUAUUCAAUGCUAUUAGUAUUAUGAUGUCUGCUAAUAAUAACUAAAGAACUGCUAAUUUUUCAGAUUCUGAUAAGAGAAGAGUUGACUUCGUAGUAGAACAUUCUGAUAAGAGAAGAGUUUCUAAUAUUCAUUUUUAAUUUUUUAUUCAUUUUCAGAUUUCAUUUCCUAAACAGUCUACUUAUUCAAUAGACUCAAUGUCUAAUGUACAUGGGAAUGAUGAAGGUAAUGUUAAUUUUUUUGUGGCAUAAAUUAAUGUUCUUAUUCUUAUAUUAAUUUAUGUUUCUGAUAUUAAUUUAUAUUUCUGAUUUUAAUGUUUCUGAAUUCUGAUAUUUAUGUUUCCUAUUUGAAUAUUGGUUUGUUUAUUCUUAAACAGGUGUUCAAUGGACGAUGGUUAACCUGUUCGAUAUCUCUAUGGAUGAUUGGAUGAUCUGGAAAUUAUAAAAUGAAGCUUAGAAUAUGUUAAAAAUUUAAAUUAUGUUGGAUUGAUUGUUAAGUACUAUUUUUAAAUUAUGUUGGAUGGAUACUUGUUAUGUUAAAUUGUGUUGGACACUUGGAUACUUGGAUUUAAUAUUUACAGUUUUUUUUUAAUAUUACAGGGUUUUUUUAACAAAAA
rnacentral:lncRNA from 1 species